GCCUGAAUCCCUGGGCAUCUGGUGGAUCGAAUUUGGAUGAAGGAGACUGGAAGAAGAAUGCUAUCCAGAUGCAAGUUGUGACUUUGGAGAUGAUCUGAAUGAAGCAUCCAGCCCAGUGUGCUCUGCAGAGAGAGGCCCUGGGCAUCAGUGAGGAAGAACCAGCCCUAACCUGAUGGAGAUCUGGAAGCAUUCUGAUCUUCUGAGCUCCGACAAGAAUCUCCCACCAAGAAUGGCUUAAAGCAUUCCAGAGCUGCUUCUUCAGCUGGCAUCUCCAAACCUUUCCAAACUCUUCUUGAAAGCCAGUUCUAAAGGCUCCUGAACCACAUGGUCAGGUAAUGUAUAGCAACAAAC
rnacentral:lncRNA from 1 species